UGCAGACACAAGUUCUAUAGAUAUAGGAAGAUGUGGUACGAGUGCCAAUGAGACAACUUUCCAUCCAAAUAACAGUUUAUAAAAGUAAACCAUUAUAGGUACGGCCUUUAACACGAAUUAUGUUUGAUUUACAUCGAAUCAAUACAAUCAUACCAAUUUCCUCCUUUGAUCUGAAAGUUUCAGUUUUGGAUAAACAGAGAAGAGACACAAACGUAACAAUACAAUGAUUUAUUGAUCGCAAUACAUUUAUGAAUAUCGUUUAUUUUUCCUAAACAUUAAGCACUUGGAAAAGCAUAAAAAGUUUAAAAAAAAAGAGAAAGUACUUAUUGGUCCAAAAAUUGACCAAGCAUUAAAAUAUUUAAUGACAUGAUUUUAAAGGAGGCAAUAAAAACAAUUUGAAAUAUAAUUCGUUAUGGUGCACAUUGGACCAUUCAUCAUACCUUCUUUAUAUAUAUCGAAUAUAUUAAGAUGUAAAAUAACAAUUAUGUAUUGCUAAAUUUAAAUUAUCAUAAUCUUCUUAGCAUCAUGUAAAAUCCAAUGCUGCCUAAUUCAAAUGACCAUUAUAACAAAUAAAUAAACAAUAAUAAAUGUUAGUGACCUUCUGCUGUUGUUUUUUCUAUGGUCGGGUUGUUGUCUCUUUGACACAUUCCCCAUUUCCAUUCUCAAUUUUAAAAUAUUAAACAAAAAAUUAAAAAAACAAACAAUUUAACAAAUUAAUAAAUUAGCAAACAAAUAAAUAAAUACAUACAUAAAUCAACAAACAAAAUAAAUAAACAAUUAAAUAAACAAUCUAACAACUUAACAAUCAAACACAUACUCAAACCAACACAACGAAUAAAUAAAUUAACACAAUAACAAAUUCUGUAAUGUCAAUUUUUAACAAUUGCAUCCAAUAGCCAACUAUAUUUUAAAUAAAUUCAAGUGGAUAAUCAAGUACAACAAUUCAAGAACGCAUUUACGUCUUUAUAUUGGAAGAAUACAGUGAUAAAAAAAGAAGAUGUACAAGCAUGUGACAUAAAAGUAUGUAUCUCACAUAAUCUCUAAGAUAAACAAGCGUUAGGAAAACAGAAUGUUUUCUGUGCUGAAUUUUAAAACAGAUAAAUGUCACAGACGAAUUGAAAUGAAAGUUCAGCCAUUUGUAAAGUUCUUUUUUCGCAUUAAUUAAUGAUGCUACCUUGUCAAAAUAAGCGUACCCUUAACCAAACUAAAACAUUUCAUAACCUAUCUCUAUUUUUGUACGUCAAACAUAUUUAUAGUGCAAAUAAAUAAAAAACAAAUUAAAUUACAAAGAAUGAGUCUGACUGUCCCUUUGGUAUCUUUCGUCCCUCUUUUCAGAUAUAAUAAUAAGUUUAUUUCUGUUAAAUUUGAUGGUCAUAUAGAGAAUAUAUAAGGUAAAAUUGUAGAUGUGUUUGAUUUUAUCACGAAUAAGUCUUUAGGUAUAAAACAAACACAUAUACAGUCAUUGCACAAAAGUGAGUUCCCACACAAACUAAAUUUGAUAUUUUUCCAAAAAAUAUUACCAACUGACUUUUUGACUGAUUUUUAAAAUAUAGACACAAUAAGAUGUAGAUAUGUCUGAAGUUUUAUUGUUUAUUUGGUCAUAAAUUUUGCGAGGGAUGUUUUUAUUAUCUGAUGGUUUAAUCAAAAAUGCAAUGUUUUACGAUUUUAAUUUGGUUAGAAUACAUAGCAAACUUUUUAAGAAAUAACUUUCUCUGUUCACACGGUCAGAAAAUAAAAUUAUGUCUGAAUAAUAUCAAGGCUAAAUAAACAAUUAAACUUUAAACAAUUCUGCAUCUUAUGAUAUUUAUUUCAUAUAAAUUAGUCGUGUAGUUAUUUGGAAGUAUUGUUUUGAAAAAUACUGAUUUUAGUUGAAAUGAUAGGACAUUUGUUGAGUGCGCGUGAGAACUCACUUUUGUCCACUGACUGAUAUAGUAUGAACAUUUUCAACGUUGAACUUCGAAUACAUUUACAAAAUGAUUGUAUGCAUGUUAACUACAUCAAUUCAAAAUUUAUCCCGCCUUAUAUAGAUACGUAGAUUGAUAAUCAUUAAUUUAUAUUCGACAAAAACUUUAAUGUUUAGCUAAAACUUGGUGUUGACUAUCAUAACGAUUUAAAAAAAGCUAAAUUUUUCACUAGGAAUUUCUUCCCAUUGCUUAACCUCUUUCAGUGAGAGCCGUGGUGUAGUGGUUAGCGCAUCGGACUACAAACACAAAGGUUCCUGGUUCAAUCCCUGUUCCGUGUGAAAAUUUCAGAAACUCAAUUUUCGGCUCUGUCUAGAUACCAUUUGCAAGUAUGAUCUUGAGAUAGGAUUAUAGUCCGUCGGAAGGGGAUGAUAAAUGACAGACCCGUGUUAAAAGAGAGUUAUAUCUAUUGCACGUAAAGGACAUCCUUGUAGAGUUCAUAAAAGAGCAGAAUAAUGUUGCUACAAGGCAACAGUCGCACCAGCAAAGUGAUAAGGGAUUGAAAUAAGUUCUAAUUACUUGUUUCCCAAUCCACAGUAAAUGAAUAUGUUUAAACUAAUCUCUUUCAAAAUAAAAAGAAAGAAAAAACUCACUCAUUGCUCCCUUAAAUUAGGAUAUAUAUAUUUUUUUAACAACAAAUAAAUAUUCUUUAUUCUUCAAAUUGUUUGUUACAACUUUACUUCAUUGUGCAAGCUUUAAUAAAGUAUCCCUGUGAAUUACUUUCUGAGUACAGAUGGGUGCGGUCCUAACCUUGACAAAAGUUAACUUAGAGUUAACUUGUUGACUUCUUUUUAAGUUAACUUGAGAAUUUUUAAGCAGACCAGCAAGUUAACUUCGUCUACGGUGGACCAGACCUACGUCCGCUUUUUUAUGACUGCUGCAGACCUAUCGACGGGUCUGUUCCAGACCAGACCUGUGGACAAUUCUGCUUUUGACCAGUCUUGAGAACAGGUCUGCCCCAGACCAGACCUGUGGACAGGUCUGCUCCUGACCAGACCUGUGGACAGGUUUGCUCCUGACCAGACCUGUGGACAGGUCUGCUUCUGACCAGACCUGUGGACAAGUCUGCUAUUGACCAGACCUGGAGACAUGUCUGCUUAUGAAAUGUUAUCGUUUUUGCGACUUUUCAUAUCAGACUUGAGCUUUAUUAAAAUAUGUAUAAACAACAUUCGCAUUGUUCUUCCCAAGAAGGCCUCUGAUAGCAAAUUUCUUUACUCGCUAUACUCUACUAGACAUUAUUCACAACAACACAAUUCUUUCUUUUUUUUAUUUCAUAUAUUCUUAUAAACUUAUCAAUUACUAGAGCCUAUCAUAUUUUUUUAAUUAGAAGGCGGAUAGAAAUUAGGGUUAUCCAACGCAUCGGAACAACUUUCGUAUGACAUGGGAUAUCAACAUCUUUGUCGACGUUGCUUCGUUCCCCGUUUUUUACCUGUCCCUUCAUAAUUUUUACUUUACGCAUUUAUACAGGCAUGGAUAUUUCAUUGUUAUUUUACUUGUUUGGAUUGGAUUUACUAUUCUUUUUCCGGAAUAUUCUCACGAAAAUUGUACAGUUGUACAGUGUCCGGAUAUGUACGAUGUGAUAAAACUGAGACUACUAUAACACAGUUAUAGUAGUCUCAGGGUAAAACUACCAACAAUCUCGUCAAAUUCGUCAGAUUUGUCGAGAGAUUUGUGCACAUGAAUGAAAUAGUUGUCACUUGACGUUUAACUGCACAAAAUCAAUCAACCGACAUAACAGAUUAACAGUAUACUAUUACCAGAAGAGAAC
rnacentral:lncRNA from 1 species